rnacentral:lncRNA from 1 species
AAUCAGUGCCCUGCCAGGCAGAAGACCCUUUUGUGUUUCCCUGACACUUGACUUCGGAGACCGCCCCUCUAAGCAGAGGGCCAUGUCGCCUGCUGCGUGUUGCUGAAUGGCGGCCCUAAUGUGAAUGGAGACUAGCCUGCUGGUAGAGACCUUGGCAGUGACCGCUGUGGGCAAUGAGCCAUGGGCCAACAAUAUUCAAUGCUGUGUACCUGAUGGAUGGUCACUGUCUGAGGCUGAAGCUUUUGGGGCCAGGAGUAAAAGGACUUGGUUUGUGCUCGAUUGCAUCCUGUGGGUGC